AACGAACGCUGGCGGCAGGCUUAACACAUGCAAGUCGAACGGUUGUAGCAAUACAGCAGUGGCAGACGGGUGAGUAACACGUGGGAACCUUCCUAGGGGUACGGAACAACUCAGGGAAACUUGAGCUAAUACCGUAUACGUCCUUACGGAGAAAGAUUUAUCGCCCUUAGACGGGCCCGCGUCGGAUUAGGUAGUUGGUGGGGUAACGGCCUACCAAGCCUACGAUCCGUAGCUGAUCUGAGAGGAUGAUCAGCCACACUGGGACUGAGACACGGCCCAGACUCCUACGGGAGGCAGCAGUGGGGAAUCUUGCGCAAUGCGCGAAAGCGUGACGCAGCAACGCCGCGUGAGUGAAGAAGGCCUUCGGUUG
rnacentral:rRNA from 1 species